rnacentral:lncRNA from 1 species
AUUUAUUCCUGCUUCCGCUUCCAAAUUUAAGAAAGGGCUGAGCUGAGCUGUGCUCCCUCCCUCCUGCAAGGAUUUGGUUGGAGCCAUGAGAUGACAUGAGUGACAUUAGCUCCAAGCCUAAAGCAGAGAGCUGGGGCUGUCGCUCAGGGGUUGGGCACUUGCCUCUCCAGGUGCAAGGCCCUGAGUUCAACUCCCGACACCUCGCCUCCCACCCCCCUGCCCAAAAAAGCAAGAAGAGCAAAAAAGAGUGUCACUUAAGGAAACACUAAUUAUAACUCUUUCUAUUCAGCUCUCAGAGCUCCAUCCCUCUGAGCUGCCAGACCCCACCAUUAGGCUGUCUACGUUGGCCUUAGGAACUUCCCUCAGACAAAUCUCCUCCCACACCCCCAAGUGAUGCCACGGUAUGGUGGGGGGCAACUGUGCAGGGGGUAAAACCCAAACUGCUGGCUUCAUUUCAAAACACAAACCCAACCCACCCCCCCCCAACAAACCAAGAGCGGCAGAUGAAGUGCUCUUCAUUCCCUCUGAGGAAAGGAUGGGAGAGCAACCAGGAGCCCAGGAACCUGGCCAUCUCGGUGAGACAAAAUGGCACCCGUCCACUCCUCACCUCUGUCAACCUUCUGCCUCAACGUCCUUCCCUCUGGUCCCAUCACUGCGCAAACCGAGGCAAUCUGUGAGUCUCAUCCAUCAGAUAGAAUUGACCAGGACAAAUGGCCGGCCUGGAAGUUCCCAAGGAAACAUUGCAGGUGGCCGGAAGGUGGAUGAGCCAAGUAGCCAGAACUUUCUCAGGGAUGAUCAGGACACAAUGGCUCCGACAGGAGGGCCGAGAGCGCCUUGUGACCACAAG